GUUGUAUGGUUAAGUGACUAAGCGUACACGGUGGAUGCCUUGGCAGUCAGAGGCGAUGAAGGACGUAGUAACUUGCGAUAAGCGUAGAUGAGGCAGUAACAGCCACUUGAGUCUACGAUUUCCGAAUGGGGAAACCCACUGGCAUAAGCCAGUAUCAUUGAGUGAAUACAUAGCUCAAUGAAGCGAACCGGGAGAACUGAAACAUCUAAGUACCCCGAGGAAAAGAAAUCAACCGAGAUUCCGAAAGUAGCGGCGAGCGAAAUUGGAUUAGCCCUUAAGCUUUACAUGUGUUAGACGAACGGUCUGGAAAGUCCGACGAUACAGGGUGAUAGUCCCGUAGUUGUAGAUGCAUGUUCAGUGAAAUCGAGUAGGGCGGGACACGUGUUAUCCUGUCUGAAUAUGGGGGGACCAUCCUCCAAGGCUAAAUACUCCUGACUGACCGAUAGUGAACCAGUACCGUGAGGGAAAGGCGAAAAGAACCCCUGUGAGGGGAGUGAAAUAGAACCUGAAACCGUGUACGUACAAGCAGUAGGAGCACCUUCGUGGUGUGACUGCGUACCUUUUGUAUAAUGGGUCAGCGACUUAUAUUCAGUGGCAAGGUUAACCAUCUAGGGGAGCCGUAGGGAAACCGAGUCUUAACUGGGCGCCAUAGUCUCUGGAUAUAGACCCGAAACCGAGUGAUCUAGCCAUGGGCAGGUUGAAGGUUGAGUAACAUCAACUGGAGGACCGAACCGACUAAUGUUGAAAAAUUAGCGGAUGACUUGUGGCUAGGGGUGAAAGGCCAAUCAAACUCGGAGAUAGCUGGUUCUCCCCGAAAGCUAUUUAGGUAGCGCCUCGGACGAAUACUACUGGGGGUAGAGCACUGUUAAGGCUAGGGGGUCAUCCCGACUUACCAACCCUUUGCAAACUCCGAAUACCAGUAAGUACUAUCCGGGAGACACACGGCGGGUGCUAACGUCCGUCGUGGAGAGGGAAACAACCCAGACCGCCAGCUAAGGUCCCAAAUUACAGCUAAGUGGGAAACGAUGUGGGAAGGCUUAGACAGCUAGGAUGUUGGCUUAGAAGCAGCCAUCAUUUAAAGAAAGCGUAAUAGCUCACUAGUCGAGUCGGCCUGCGCGGAAGAUGUAACGGGGCUAAGUU
rnacentral:rRNA from 1 species